rnacentral:rRNA from 1 species
CAGUCGCCGCGGUAAUACAGAGGGUGCAAGCGUUAAUCGGAAUUACUGGGCGUAAAGCGCGCGUAGGUGGUUUGUUAAGUUGGAUGUGAAAUCCCCGGGCUCAACCUGGGAACUGCAUCCAAAACUGGCAAGCUAGAGUAUGGUAGAGGGUGGUGGAAUUUCCUGUGUAGCGGUGAAAUGCGUAGAUAUAGGAAGGAACACCAGUGGCGAAGGCGACCACCUGGACUGAUACUGACACUGAGGUGCGAAAGCGUGGGGAGCAAACAGGAUUAGAUACCCCUGUAGUCCCUGUCUCUUAUAA